rnacentral:lncRNA from 1 species
AUAGUAACGAUUGUUGGGUCAUGAGAACUUUAGGUCAUGGGCAUCUGGGCAUCCGCUCUUUUUUUAAGUCAUAGGUGCCUGCAACAUGUAAGCGUACUAUAGAUAGGAAGAUCAGUGCACAUCUAAGAAGAUCAGCGCACAUCUAUGGAUGAGCAUCGGUUGGACAUCCUGAAGAUGAGUGAGUGCUGAUCCAAAUAUCUUGAGAGAUGAGCGAGCACC